AAGCAUUGGCACAUCUCAUUUCCAUGGAGAAUAUUUGGCCUCGGUCCUCAGUCACAGUCUAUAUAUAUAGCUAAUGACUUUUAAACUUAUCUUGGUAUACAUUGUUAGUUUGUGUGAUUAGAUCAGUUUAAGAUGAACUGCUCAUGUUAAGUCAAUGCUAUUUGGUAUGCAUAUUUAUUGGCAUUUGCAAGUAUCCUUUCCAUGGAAAUUAUAUAGCCCCACCCCCUCUUCAUGGUUCAUUGACCUAGAACAUUGUAG
rnacentral:lncRNA from 1 species